AUGAUGACGACGUUGCGCCCGGGCGUCCAAGUCGGGCCGGCGCCGCUGGACGCCUUCCGUCUCUACUUGGUCGGCCGUGGCCCGUUCGACGACUGGGUCCACUUCAGCCUGAUGCGCCGCCCGGCGGCAGUCGACGUCCACUACGCCUACGGCAGCGCCAUGAACCUGCCGCCCUUCCUGAGCUUCAGCCUGGACCCCGCAUGCGCCGACAUCACCUCCCGCCUCACCACCUUGCGGCUCUUCGGCCUCAGCCUGGCAGACGACUUCGCGGAGCAGAUCAGGGACCGGUGCCCGGUGCUCGAGAGCCUGCACGUCGAGAGCUGCGUCUGCUGUUGCCACACCAUCGCGUCGCCCACGCUCAAGACGCUCGCCAUUGUCCUCACCCACCACGACUACAGAAGCGCCCCUCUCCUCCUCGUGCUGCCUCGCCUCGCCUCGCUGCGCCUCGUGCUUCCCUUCGGCAGCACCCAUGGCUACCCGGUAGCAAUUGCUCCACCAGAAAACAACGUCGUCCAAGCGUCCUUGUGUAUAUCAGACACCGACGGCGAGGAACUACUAGGGCUCGGCCAACCGGUGACUAAAUACAAGCGCCGUUUCUUGAAAUCCAUGUACCACCUCCUGCUCCAACUACCCAAUGUCAGAAAUCUGGUUUUGUCCGGCUUCACAACCAUGGCGUUGUUACGCUGGAAAUCGCAAGAAUUCCCACUAAUGCAAAGCUUGAGAACCUUGCUUCUAGAUGGGUGUGAUGUUGGAGCCAACUUCUUCGCACUGACCAUCAUCCUUCGCAACGCCCCUAAUCUGGAGGGGCUUAGGCUGCACCGCUGCAAGUCUCUAGACCCACCUAAUAGAGGGAAAUGGAAAGCAGAAUUGAGGAGAUCAUGUUCCAUACACUGUAGACCAAUACUCGCUCACGGCAAGAAGUUGGAGUCAAUAGAAGUUAAGUACCGACGAGCUGAUAUUCCUCACAUGGCCAAGGUUUUAUUAGAAAUUUUGAUGGGAACACCAAAGGAUGUGGGGAAAAUGGUGCCUACUCGUGGCGAUGUGUUAAGAGAUCGAGCACCACACAAGACGAUACAAUUAUUUGGGCCAGGAAAAUGA
rnacentral:rRNA from 1 species